CAAAUAAUCCGGCUAAUAAAUCUCAUGCCUUUAAUAUAGACAUAGCUGUUGUUAUUUAUCUACCUAUAUUGCACAAAGUGAGGUACUCACUUCUACAUGUUCACCUCUCAGAUCCAACGGCCCACCUCUAUCUAUCUGCGAAUCAACGGCUAUCUAUCUGCGAAUCAACGACUGUAAUCAAGUUGAGUCCGUUCUCCCUCAAGCAGUCACGCACCUCCACCCCUCAACUGCGCGGCCUCCGCGCCGCCCGCGCCGGCUCCGCCCCAGCACAUCCACCACCGCUCCACCGCGCCCGCCGGUAAGAUCCGCGCUGCUGCCCCACCGCGCCGCCUCUGGCCCUGGGUGUCCACCUGCGCGUCCACCGCGCCGCCGCCCGCCAGAUCCGUGCCACCGAUCGCCUCCGAUGGCUUCUUCCACCUCCCUCCUCCCCACCGCCGUCGGUGGCGGCGGCGGCGGUUGCUGCUGCUCGCCGCUCCUCCCCUUCCACGCUCCAUUUCCUCCCGCGUCGCCUCGGCCUGUGCCACCGCCGCGCGCUCCGGCACGUCGUCGUGUCCGCCUCGGUGGCUUCCUCCUCCUCCUCCUCGGCGACGUCGCUCGACACCCUCAUCUUCGACUGCGACAGCGUCAUCCUGGAGUCAGAGCACCUCCACCGUGGCAGGCCUACAACGACGCCUUCGUGCACAUCGGGGUGAGCUGCGACCCCGGGGCCGCCGGGCCGCUGUACUGGAAUGAGGCCUUCUACGACGACCUCCAGAACCGGAUCGGCGGCGGGAAGCCCAAGAUGCGGUGGUAUAUGCGUGCGUGAUCGGCACUUGGCUGUAGGAUGAUCCUUAAGUAGAACUGCAAUUCAACAAACAAACUCAAUGGCUUCAAGGGAAUGUCUACUUGGUUAUGACUUAGCAUAACGAUUUCUCGGUAUCGGGCGAUCAGCGUGCACCCUGAUAUGCACCCCGCAGCUCGCCGCUGGUUUGUCCAAGCUUGUGCUUUGUUGUGCCCUCUGCCUGUUUGAUAGUUUGCCUAAGCAAACGCACUAGAACGGUGGCUGCUGCUAAUCUUUCAAGGCAUGUGCGCUGCUUUGCACAAGCAUGAUUCAUGCUUAGCUGCAUUGUGCAACUGCAUAUGAAUGCUCCUACAACGGAGGCAUGCGAUUGGUACAUUGAAGUAGAAUGCAGUUGCCCAUUACAUUGGCAUGCAGAUCAUAAUUAAUAUGGGUAUAUAUUGAUCUGGCAGAAAUAGCAUGAGUGCAUGGCAAUACAUUUUUAGCACAUAAAGGAAUUUCUACAUCCACACGCUGCAAUGUCCUCAAAAAAGAUGUCAUUGAUCUUAUCAAGAAAUUCAAUAUUCAAGUCAACAACUUAACCCAGAUGCACCUUCAGUCCAUGUUAGCUUCCCCUGCAUUAUGUUCCUUUAUCAUUUUCGUUUCGCGCCAUGAUAUGUUAACCCAUAGGAGCCACUUGCAUAUCCGCUUAGCAUGAAUCUAGUCCUGAUUUCUGUUGCUUUGUGCUCCAUUCUAUUCAGUUCCUGCCACAGGACAUGGUCUGUGAAUUUGCUAAGUUGACGCCUAUUCAACUACUGGAAGAAACUGAAAAGGUUGUUGGUGAUCCUAAUUUACCUUUUCAGCAUAGACUGCUUACGGACAAGAGCAAGGAAUUGAAUAAUCUUGAAGUGGACAAAUGGAGAAAUUUAAGUUUUAGUGCAAGACCGGGUUCAAGGGAUAAAUUAAGGGUUCCGAAAAAAGGGCCUUCAUCUUCCACAUCUCCAAGCUCACGGACUCCACUUCUCCUACCCUCAAAUAAAGUUGCCGAGGCUUUGCCAUCUGCAGAUCCUGAGAAAAUUUCCUGCAGAAUGAUGAUAACCAGUGACCUCUGAAGAGCGCUUACCAAGUUGGAAGAGACAAUUAAGAUGUACCAUGCAACUGGACUGACUCAUAAUGGCAAUGGGUCGGCUCAACAUAAAUGCUUUUGAGUGCUUGAAUGAUGUUAAGUCAAUGUCUGUCUUAUGCCCGAGACACCUCUUUGAAGGCAGUACAGUCCAGCCCUGAUAUCAACAUUUUUUUAUUGAAGUGACCAUACAUGGUGUUUGGGUGCCUGUGUCACUCUCAUACUAGCUGCAGCUCAAGAAGCCGACCAAAAGUACCAACAACUUUGUCCACAACUGAGUCAGUCUGGAGGUCUAGGGGAAAAUCCAAGAACAUCACCCAACUUUCCCUGCAAGUGAUAGUGUUGUCAUGGUAAGAAAAGCGGAGAGUGAACAGGCCAUUGACAUCAUAGGGUCCACCCAUAACUAGGGCAUCUCUAAGCAUUGUCGAAGCAAGAUGAAGAUAAGCAAACUCUGAAGCAUGCCUACUAGUAUCCAACACAUGGUAACCCAAAGUGGUCUGAAUAUAUUCCACCAUAAACUGAACAAAAUGCUCAUAAUGAUUCAGCGGUGGUGGGGGUUCAAGAGCUGCAACCGCAAUACCUUCAUGGCUCUUGGGAGUUUCAUCAGUAAUGAUCAAGUCCGCCCGAGGAAGACGGUGGGGCCAAGCUUCAUUGAUCGCCAUUGCUGGGGGAAUGAAAGGAGUAGGAUCCGGGUUUACGUUCGCCAUUGAAGAUUUUGGUGGAACACUGUAGAUUGGAUUGGGUGCGGAAGAAUGUAUGGAGACGAAGCGUCACGCUGCAGUUGCCUAGAAUCAUGGCACUGAAUACUGCCUACCAGAAAAUUAUGUUGGCUAGACACCACCGUUUUCGCACAAGUAGGCUUAACUUGGUUGGCCUUAGGCAAGUAGACUUUUUGGUGAGAUUUGUUUAGUUGUCAAAAUUUUUUUUCAAAAACAUCACAUCGAAUUUUG